rnacentral:rRNA from 1 species
GACGAACGCUGGCGGCGUGCCUAAUACAUGCAAGUCGAACGCAUUUUCUUUCACCGUAGCUUGCUACACCGAAAGAAAAUGAGUGGCGAACGGGUGAGUAACACGUGGGUAACCUGCCCAUCAGCGGGGGAUAACACUUGGAAACAGGUGCUAAUACCGCAUAAUUCCAUUUACCGCAUGGUAAAUGGAUGAAAGGCGCUUUUGCGUCACUGAUGGAUGGACCCGCGGUGCAUUAGCUAGUUGGUGGGGUAACGGCCUACCAAGGCUGCGAUGCAUAGCCGACCUGAGAGGGUGAUCGGCCACACUGGGACUGAGGCACGGCCCAGACUCCUACGGGAGGCAGCAGUAGGGAAUCUUCGGCAAUGGACGCAAGUCUGACCGAGCAACGCCGCGUGAGUGAAGAAGGUUUUCGGAUCGUAAAACUCUGUUGUUAGAGAAGAACAAGGAUGAGAGUGGAAAGUUCAUCCCUUGACGGUAUCUAACCAGAAAGCCACGGCUAACUACGUG